rnacentral:rRNA from 1 species
UACGAAGGGGGCUAGCGUUGCUCGGAAUCACUGGGCGUAAAGCGCACGUAGGCGGAUUGUUAAGUCAGGGGUGAAAUCCUGGAGCUCAACUCCAGAACUGCCUUUGAUACUGAAGAUCUUGAGUCCGGGAGAGGUGAGUGGAACUGCGAGUGUAGAGGUGAAAUUCGUAGAUAUUCGCAAGAACACCAGUGGCGAAGGCGGACUCUCUGGGCCUUUCCUGGACGCUGAGACGCGAAAGCGUGGGGAGCGA